GUGAACGCUGGCGGUGGGCCUAACACAUGCAAGUCGAACGGCAGCACCGUAAGAGCUUGCUCUUACGGGUGGCGAGUGGCGGACGGGUGAGGAAUACAUCGGAAUCUACUUUUUCGUGGGGGAUAACGUAGGGAAACUUACGCUAAUACCGCAUACGACCUACGGGUGAAAGCAGGGGAUCUUCGGACCUUGCGCGAUUGAAUGAGCCGAUGUCGGAUUAGCUAGUUGGCGGGGUAAAGGCCCACCAAGGCGACGAUCCGUAGCUGGUCUGAGAGGAUGAUCAGCCACACUGGGACUGAGACACGGUCCAGACUCCUACGGGAGGCAGCAGUGGGGAAUAUUGGACAAUGGGCGCAAGCCUGAUCCAGCCAUACCGCGUGGGUGAAGAAGGCCUUCGGGUUGUAAAGCCCUUUUGUUGGGAAAGAAAAGCAGCAGGUUAAUACCCCGCUGUUCUGACGGUACCCAAAGAAUAAGCACCGGCUAACUUCGUG
rnacentral:rRNA from 1 species